UACGAAGGGAGCUAGCGUUGUUCGGAAUCACUGGGCGUAAAGCGCGCGUAGGCGGACCUGCAAGUCGGGGGUGAAAGCCCGAGGCUCAACCUCGGAACUGCCUUCGAUACUGCGGGUCUCGAGUCCGGGAGAGGUGAGUGGAAUUCCUAGUGUAGAGGUGAAAUUCGUAGAUAUUAGGAAGAACACCAGUGGCGAAGGCGGCUCACUGGCCCGGUACUGACGCUGAGGAGCGAAGCCAGGGGAGCAAACGGG
rnacentral:rRNA from 1 species